rnacentral:rRNA from 1 species
CCUACGGGUGGCAGCAGUGAGGAAUAUUGGUCAAUGGACGGAAGUCUGAACCAGCCAUGCCGCGUGCAGGAAGACGGCUCUACGAGUUGUAAACUGCUUUUGUACAAGGGUAAACCUGAAUACGUGUAUUCAGCUGAAAGUACUGUACGAAUAAGGAUCGGCUAACUCCGUGCCAGCAGCCGCGGUAAUACGGAGGUUCCAAGCGUUAUCCGGAUUUAUUGGGUUUAAAGGGUGCGUAGGCGGUUUGAUAAGUUAGAGGUGAAAUGUCCGAGCUUAACUCGGGAACUGCCGCUAAUACUGUUGAACUAGAGAGUAGAUGCGGUAGGCGGAAUGUAUGGUGUAGCGGUGAAAUGCGUAGAGAUCACGAAGAACACCGAUUGCGAAGGCAGCCUACUAGACUGCCACUGACAUUGAUGCUCGAAAGUGAGGGGAUCAAACAGGAUUAGAUACCCCAGUAGUC